UUUCUUGAGAAGCACAAUGUUGACAUUUUGCAACAGAGCUCUGUCCUGCACUGGUGCACCACAGGAAUGCCUAGCAGAGGUGUUUAUCCUGGCUCUGCGUACUACCUGUAUUACCAAGCACCUUGAAAGGGCCACCACACAAAACACAAGCCCUGAUUCAUUUCAGGGGCACCAAUGAAGACAAGUUUACAAAAAGCAAGCAGGCUCCAAAAAAACUAUGGGAGUGAGUAAUUUGUAACUUGUGAACUGUUCAUAUUCAUAACAUAAUUCUCGUAACUCGUCACAACGGCAACUGUUCCCCUAAUGAUCAAGCAUUCUGUUUCAAUAUGAAAUCAGCACAGCUGCAGACGGCAUUGUCGAAGAUUGUUGUUUGGUAACUGUACAUUUGUUUUGGAGCUGCCCCUAUACUGUCACUUUUUGGAAAGAUUUUGUCGAGUAUAUUCGUUGCAACAUUUAUGUUCUAUUUUCACUACUGUACAAAGAUGUGCUGUUUGGAUUUUAUGAUGUCAGCAUUUCAAAACAAAAACAAUUCUAUAUCAUUAAUCUAUCUAUUAUCUUAGCGAAAUUCCAUAUUCAUAAGAGAAAAUUUUGUAACAGAAAACCCUUGUUCAAAAUUUUUAUGAAUGAAAUGCAGCAAUACUUAGAAACCAUUCAGCACUCCACAAACUCCAAAGCUAUAAAGACUCUGAAAAUAUGUAAACAAUUUAAUUGUUUGAGCUGCUGAACUUUUUUAUUUAUUUAUUUGUUUAUUUUAUUUCUUUUUCUUUUCUCUUAACCCUGGCAUAUUUGUUCUGUUCAUGUCUGUCACUGCUUGUUUUGUACAAGAAUUGAAAUAAAGUGUUGGAAAAAAAAACUCAUCACGUCUUUUUAUCGACAACUACUGAUGACAUAUAUUUCUUCUUCUUUGAACUGACAGAGUGGACAGAGUUUUGGCAUAUUGCUGCCCCGACAGUCUUAAGACGUAUUUGCCUUUGAGGGAUGUCCCAUUCUAACGUCACAAGAUAGCCCUUAACACUUGGUUUUGAGGGCUAGUGAGAUUGAGGGUUGAGCUUGAGAAUUAAGAUUGAGGGUUAAAAUAGGAAUUGGGAUUGGGCCUUAGAGUGCAUCACAGCACUGAGACAGCACUAGUAAAAAUUACAAAUGAUCUUCUGAUUGCUUCAGACAAAGGACUCGUCUCUGCACUUGUUUUAUUAGGUCUUAGUGCGGCGUUUGACACAAUUGACCAUCAAAUCCUGCUACAGAGACUGAAACAUUUAAUCAGUAAAAUAAAAGAUUUGUCUUUUAACUCCCACUUAAAAUAAACCUCAUGGACCGCGUUUUUUCAUCUGCACAAUAUUGCAAAAAUUAGGCCUAUCUUGACCCGAAAAGAUGCAGAAAAAUUGGUCCACACUUUUGUUACCUCUAGGCUGGAUUAAAUCAAGUCAAGUCAGGAUUUAUUUCUAGAGCACAUUUAAAACGACGGCAGUCGACCAAAGUGCUGCACAUAGGAGGGUACAGAGUUAAAACAACAUCAAUAAUAAAAAUAAAAUAGAUGUAGAAAACAACGAUAAGAAAACAGAGCAAACAGUGCAAACUAUUAGAAUAGCAAUUAAAAAAAUAAAAAAAACGUCAUCGUCAUCAUCGUGCUCAGGCUGAAUGAUACGCCAGGUGGAAGAGAAAGGUUUUUAGGGAGGAUUUAAAAGUCUCUAGGGACUGGGAAGAUCAAAUGUGAAGGGGGAGGCUGUUCCAGAGCCUGGGGGCAGCCGCUGUAAAGGCUCUGUCACCUCGAGACCUUAGUCUGGUUUUUGGCACCACCAACAGUAGAUGGUCCGAAGACCUUAAGGUUCUGGUUGGGAAGUGGCGCAAAAGGAGUUCAGAGAGGUACAGAGGGGCCAGACCGUUGAGGGCUUUAAAAAAAAAUUAAAAUAAGUUUAAAAUCAAUACGAAAAAACGGUCCAGGAGCCAGUGGAGGGAGGCUAAAACUUGGCGUGAUGUGGUCGCCCGUUCUGGACGAGCUGUAGACGGUUGAGGGAGGACUGAUCCAGGCCAACAUAGAGGGAGUUACAAUAGUCUAAUCUGGUGGUUAUGAUUACUGUAAUUACUUAUUAUCAGGUAGCUCUAAUAAGUCUUUGAAAACUCUCCAGCUAAUUCAGAAUGCAGCAGCACGUAUACUGACAGAAACUAAGAAACAAGAUCACAUUUCUACUGUUUUAGCUUCUCUGCACUGGCUCCCUGUAAAAUCUAGAACUGGAUUUAAAAUCCUUCUCCUAACUUACAAAGCUCUAAAUGGUCAGGCUCUGUCAUAUCUUAGAGAGCUCAUAGUGCCCUAUUAUCCCACCAGAACACUGCGCUCUGAGAAUGAAGGUUAAGUAGUGGUUCCUAAAGUCUCCAAAAGUAGAUCAGGAGCCAGAGCCUUCAGCUAUCAGGCUCCUCUUCUGUGGAAUCAUCUUCCUGUUUUGGUCCGGGAGGCAGACACCGUCUCCACAUUUAAGAUUAGACUUAAGACUUUCCUCUUUGAUAAAGCUUAUAGUUAGGGCUGGCUCAGGCUUGUUUUGGACCAGCCCCUAGUUAGGCUGACUUAGGCCUAGUCUGCCGGGGGACACACUUCCUAUAAUACACCUAGCACCUUCUCUCCUUCUCUCCUUCUCUCUCUGGCCUUUGCUAACACUCAUGUCCCGUUACUGCAUCUCGCUAACUCUGCUCUACUGCAUGUCACUAACUUGGCUUCUUCUCAGAGUUAGUGCUCCACUGUGUGGCAGGUUACCUCGGUUUGCAGCUGUGCCUGGAUCGUGUAACGUGGUUGUGCUGUUGACGUGGUCGUGCCUGGUGCCGCCUACUGCUACUGUUAUUAUUACUCAUAAUUCUACUGUUAUAUACACAUGACUAUUGUCACAUACAUAUACUAUCAUAUAUUAAUAUAUACUUACAACAUAUAGUACCACAAUUACCAUAAUUAUUAUAAUAUUAUUACUUAAAUGAAUGUUAUAAGCUUUUAUCAUUACUGUCUGCCCUGCAUCUCUCUCUGUCUCUGUCUCAAUUUCUCUCUGUCUCUCUUUAUGUAUCAUUUUGUCAUAUGGAUUACUGUAAAUUUAUUAUGUUGAUCUGUUCUGUACGACAUCUAUUGCACGUCUGUCCAUCCUGGAGGAGGAUCCCUCCUCAGUUGCUCUUCCUGAGGUAUCUACCAUUUUUUUUCCCCCGUUGGAGUUUUCCCUUAUCCACUGUGAGGGUCCAAAGGACAGAGGGAUGUCGCAUGCUGUACAGCCUUCUGAGGCAAAUUGUGAUCUGUGAUAUUGGGCUUUAUAAAAAAAAUUGAUUGAUUGAAUAAAGCUUGAAUGCUUCACAGUGUAACUCAAUGCAACCUCUGUGAACGGUUGGCUGUGGCCACCAGCUCUCGUGCUGUCGAUGUCAAUACACACAAUGCAGCAUUAAUGUAGCAGGGAAACAAUAGAGUGCCUCCUCUGACGCAACGGCAAGUCAGUUUACUGCAUUUGUUAGAUCAUAGACCUUUUGGCAGUGGCCAUCUUGGGGCGUUUUUUUUUUUGGAGCCAGAAAUAACCAUAUUUGGGCAAGAGGCUGGAGCUCUAGAGGAGCAAGAGGUGGAUCUGUCCGAGACGUCAAGCACACUAUCAGCAAACAGCCUGUCACUCAAAGCAGCCCACCCUUAGUCAUGUGUAACUUAAAUGAAACGUAAACAUGUGAGUAAUAUAAAAAUUCACCCCCGGAGCAAUUAUCAUGAGGGGGGAAAUUACCUAUAGAGACCAGGCUUUGUAGCAGGCU